AAGUCGUAACAAGGUAACCGUAGGUGAACCUGCGGUUGGAUCAUUACCAAAUCCAAACCCGGUGCUCCUGGCCAGCGUGCGCGUGCUUCAAAACACCAGGCGCCAGCCACGGAGUGCCCUCCAUCCCAUGUGCAACGUUUCUACACACACUGGGGGCGUGGCUUGCUGUGCCCCCUUUCACAACCAUGUGCUUCUCCAAUCACCUGACGUUACCACUCGUGGCAUGUGUGCGUGCUUUCCGCACGCACCCUGGCAUUAGAGCUUAACGAAAAAACAACUUUUGACAACGGAUCUCUUGGCUCUCGCAUCGAUGAAGAAGC
rnacentral:misc_RNA from 1 species